UACGUAGGGUGCAAGCGUUAAUCGGAAUUACUGGGCGUAAAGCGUGCGCAGGCGGUUGUGUAAGUCAGAUGUGAAAUCCCCGGGCUCAACCUGGGAAUUGCAUUUGAGACUGCACGGCUAGAGUGUGUCAGAGGGGGGUAGAAUUCCACGUGUAGCAGUGAAAUGCGUAGAGAUGUGGAGGAAUACCGAUGGCGAAGGCAGCCUCCUGGGAUAACACUGACGCUCAUGCACGAAAGCGUGGGGAGCAAACAGG
rnacentral:rRNA from 1 species